CCUGCAACAGACAGCUGCUGGGGUUUGGGAGACAACUGAACUAAUGUUUCAAAUAGAAUAGAAUAGAAUAGAAUAUGUUAUAGCUUUAGAAGCUGAAAAGACAGAAUCGAGUGGACGUACUUGUUUACCAGAGAAAGAAAGAUAGAAAGAUUUGGCUCAUGCGAGGGUUUUAUUUAAUGGAUUAAAAUUAUCUACAAACUUACGGAAGCUUGUGUUAUAACUAAUGGUGUCCAAUCAUCAGCCUCCCCACUGUGAAGAGGAACGAGGCAGGGCUGUCCUCUGUCCCCUCUCCUCUUUGCAUUAGCACUUGGACCUCUAGCUGAGGCCAUUCGCCAAGAUGUGCAUGAUAUAAGAGUGUGUCACGCUGACCUAGUAGGUGUGGCUGUUGCUCUUCUCUUCCUCCUCCUGCACUACCUGCUCUGCGCUGCUGCUGAUUAGACCUGAUGCGUGCUGCUCCGCCAGGUGAGCUGAAUUAGUGCAAUCAAGGGCGGGCGUGCCUAGUAAGCCUUAAAAUGCAUGCAGCAGUCAUUUGACCGGAGAGCGACAUACAGAGGACAGCAAACAAGGCAAUCCACUUGCCACUGUGAGGAAGACUUUGGACUAGACGGGCUAUCGCAGCGUAUUGGCUUCAGGAGCAGACUGUGAGCUGCUGUCCAGCGCGUCUUCACACCGCUAUCCCCACAUGGUCGACUCCAUCACUGCCUGUCUGGAUGCUUCCCUCUCACUGACUUUGUGUGAUUGCUGCUAAUAUCAAACAACAGUCGGUCUUCUAUAAAUGAUACCAAUCAUGGCCAAAGUGUCCCUGUACAGGUCUGCAGUUCCUUCACACCUUCAUCCAAACAGGAUGGAGGCUCUUAUCCCUCCUUUCUACCAAUCACAGGUCAAGUCAGUCUCUUUCACUGGUUGGACUCCAGUUGGCUUUGUUUGAUUUCAAUACCUCAUAGGUUUAUAUCCUCUGUGUAAGCACUGAUACAUGAGGAAAACCUAGCAGUCUGUCGCCCUCUGCUGUUCUCCCAGUGGUGUCAUAGGCCACCAUAUUGCCUCAGCUGAUGCAGUCCUGUGUAGCUGCAGUGAAGACCUCCAUGCUGGUGGUCCAGGGGUCUCAAGACACAGUGGACGUGGCUCUACAGGUCCAAAAGGACUGCUGCAGGCUGCAGGACACACUGGGCGACCUUUUGGGUUGCUACAUGCAACCAGGUGUAGAUUUCAGUGGGAGGGGGGAACAGGGAGCAGUUCUAGCUUUGACCACACCCACUGUGGUGUCCAUGUGACCCUGCUUCCCCUCCACAAUGUGACAUGUGUUCCCUGUCAUAUUAUCAGGAUUUGUUUGUAACUAAUGAUCCAGUUGAUGAACUAAUCAAACCUCGUUUCCAACGAUCUGUGAAAGAGUUCAGCUGUGAUGCAGCAGCUGAAGCCUUAAUAGGAACUUUGUUCUUUCUUUCAGUCACAUAAAGAAACAGUAACAUGAAGACGUUUGUUAUUCUAUAACACUCAUACAUUCACACUGUAAUGUUUAUCCAUAUACAAAGGUAAACUUAAGAAGUAUAGAUUUAUUUUUCAGUCAAAUCCUUAUUUAGCUGCUGUGCUUCCUCGGUGCUUCAUGCACUCACAGUCCACUGUGGUGGACUCACUCGAGUCUAAAUGCUUCAUUGUUUCAAUGGUAGAUGGACAACACUAACGUGACACUGUCACAGUGGGUACCUCCCACUACAGCUGGUCGCUUGGUGAAUCUGUUUGUAAGAAGCUGACCAACAGUGUUUGUUUCUUUUCAAUAAAUGUGUUUUUGGUUGUUUCAGAUAUGAAACAACUCUUUAAGUUACACAUUUCCAUCUAACCUAUCAGUUCAUUCCACUCUUAAGCUUUCAGAUGAUCCGUCUUCUCGUACUGUUGAGUGACAUAAGGAGGAACUGCAUCAAGUAUGAAAGUGUCAUCAUGCUAUAGCUAUCGUUUAACCUGUGCUCUGACCUUAGCUGUGACCUUCCUACUAGCAGGACAGCUGUGAACAUAUUUUACAUCCAAAUAUUUUACAGGUGCAUUUUUCAUUUCAAGCACUAAAUUGAAUAGAAGCUGGUAACUUUGCACUUGUGCUGUUGCUGCUGUAUAUUGUUCAAACCUCCCACAUGAAACCAGCACCAGUCUGAAUUUUCUGGCUGAUGUCACAACAUCCCAGCUUGACAGACAACAGCUGUUCUGUGAACCUGCUUUGGUUUCCAUUAUCAUGUUUGGUCCAUAUAGACCUGUGAGUAAAAGCUAAUGCUACUACUGUACUGAUUGUUGAACAGGAAGGUAAAUGUUGGCCCUGCAGGCCUCCAGUGGACAAAACAGGAUCUGACGCACUCGCUCAUGGCCUCGUUAAGGUUGCAUCACUGGGUGCAGAUAACAUGUUCAACAUCUACUUCUUUGCACCACCUUUCUUUCUAGAUUUUCACAAACAUUAGCCCCAGCUCUCCAUGGUUAACCUUAUUUGCUCUCAGUAACAACCUUUCCUCAUCACAGACAACCAGCACACUUCUUAAUGAGGAGCAGCUGUGCAGGACCUGGAACCAAAAGGCUACCUACUGAUUUUAAAAUACACAAU